CCUACGGGUGGCUGCAGUGGGGAAUAUUGCGCAAUGGGCGAAAGCCGGACGCAGCGACGCCGCGUGAGGGAUGAAGGUCUUCGGAUCGUAAACCUCUGUCAGCAGGGAAGAACGGUCACUGUGCUAAUCAGCAGUGAAUUGACGGUACCUGCAAAGGAAGCACCGGCUAACUCCGUGCCAGCAGCCGCGGUAAUACGGAGGGUGCGAGCGUUAAUCGGAAUUACUGGGCGUAAAGCGUUCGUAGGCGGUAUGUCAAGUCAAGGGUGAAAUCCCCGCGCUCAACGUGGGAACUGCCUUUGAAACUUGCAAACUGGAGUGUGUGAGAUGAUAGUGGAAUUCCAGGUGUAGGAGUGAAAUCCGUAGAUAUCUGGAGGAACAUCAGUGGCGAAGGCGGCCUGCUGGACUGCAACUGACGUUGAGGCCCGAAAGCGUGGGGAGCAAACAGGAUUAGAUACCCCUGUAGUC
rnacentral:rRNA from 1 species